CUCUCUGUGGCUCAGUUGGUGAGAACGCUGCACCGGAAUUGCAGGGCAACAGGUUCAAUUCCUGCCAGAGAGA